UACGUGGGGGGCAAGCGUUGUCCGGAAUUAUUGGGCGUAAAGCGCGCGCAGGCGGUGAAUUAAGUCUGGUGUUUAAGGCUGUGGCUCAACCACAGUUCGCACCGGAAACUGGUUGACUUGAGUGCAGAAGAGGAAAGUGGAAUUCCACGUGUAGCGGUGAAAUGCGUAGAGAUGUGGAGGAACACCAGUGGCGAAGGCGACUUUCUGGGCUGUAACUGACGCUGAGGCGCGAAAGCGUGGGGAGCAAACAGG
rnacentral:rRNA from 1 species